AGCAGCGUGGCUUAGUGAAUAGAGCACAGGACUGGGAGUCAGGUGACCUGGGUUCUACUCCCAGCUCGGCCA
rnacentral:tRNA from 1 species